UACAAGCCUUGGUGAAGGGGGGCGGUCAUGCUCAAAACUGGCUCGAGACACAGUAGUGCUCUUACGAGAGGUACAUUUACUCAGUCUGCUGGGCUUUUUAAUCAUUAUUAUUUUUUCAGUAAAUGGAGGGACUCCAGAGACCGAGAAUGGAACAGCUGAACAACGGGGCUCUUCUCCAGCGCUGCCCUGACGAGCGAUCCCACCCCUCACGGCGCUGGAAGUAAAGGCAGACUGAGUCUGUCACACACAUUCCCAGGCCCAGCAGAGCGACGACGAUGGACCGGACCCUUCAAGGCCGCACAGCACGACGCCCGAUGGGGAGAGGUGAGCAGUCCACCAAAUCUGAUGCGACCAGUUUUAAAAACCCCAAGCUGGGUUCGCAGUAAACCGCUAACCAGCUUAAAUGGCAACACACUGGAGGAGAUUAAGUAAGCGGUGGGGAGCAGAUGGAAUGAAAUCCUGAGCGCAUGAACGACAUCAUGGAGCCAGGUAAGGGGAGACCUAAUGGAAUAGGAGGGGAGCAGCUUGGGAUUAUUACAAUGGGUGGGUUUUUAAGGGGGGGGGGCAGGAAUCUGGGACAGAGCAAUAUCCACUGAACUGUAAAGGGUGGAAGCAGGUGAGGUAGUGUAGGAGUAUAGGGGGCCCGUCUUUGGCUAGCUGUGGAGAGAGAUGCCUUUAACUCAGGGGUGGGACCACUGGCCCCAGCUGAAAGCUGACUGCCCCCCCUGGAACACAGGUCUACUCCCCUGUCAUUCCCCGAUUCAAAGCAUAUCACUGGCUAAUAAGGUUGGGUGCCUCUGUAUGAAUUAUGCCCUCUUGCCUAAAAAAAAAAAAAAACAUCUAGAAUCACCC